rnacentral:rRNA from 1 species
UACGUAGGGGGCUAGCGUUGUCCGGAUUUAUUGGGCGUAAAGAGCGUGUAGGCGGCCAGGUAGGUCUGCUGUGAAAACUCGAGGCUCAACCUCGAGACGUCGGCGGAAACCAUCUGGCUAGAGUCCGGAAGAGGAGGGUGGAAUACCCAGUGUAGAGGUGAAAUUCGUAGAUAUUGGGUGGAACACCGGUGGCGAAGGCGGGUCUUGGGCCGAUACUGACGCUGAGGAGCGAAAGCGUGGGGAGCGAACAGG